UUUAUUUCCUGCCCUCAGCUUGGAGCCUUCUGGAGGGAAUUGGAGGCAGAGAGUGCUACUGUGAGCAGGGCAGAGGCCCUCACCAUGGGCAGGAACCGGCACCAACAGCCCGAAUCCCGCAGCGAUGCUCCUUUGUAGAUGCCUGUCGGGAUGCCGAGGAGCACACGUGCACUUGGAGAGAUGCAGCGUGGGGAGCCCAUCGGGUGCUGUGAAGCUGUGGAAUGGGAGGAUGAUGGAGACUGCUCCGUAACCCCACCAGGAACAGCGGGCAAGGAGACAGACUCGUGCUCAGGUUUCCUGUGGGGUGUAACAUCAAUGCCGGCCCCUCCUGCGGCUCGGGGUGGACUUUGCAGUUUGUUCUUCACUACGGUAGCAAGAGACCUUCGUGGUGUUUUCCCUCCAAGGACAGCAGCAGUAGUCUGAGCAAGCGAUGGUCACCUGUAUUCACAGGUGUUUCAAAGUUUCUUGAUGUUAAAAAGGAAGAGGGAAAAAAUUGUUUGCAGAGGUGCAUCUGCUCUUUUCCGCUUUUUCUACGCUUGGUGAUCAAACGGGAUCAGUCCUUCUCGAGUUUCCCCUCCACGUUUGCCUCCUGGAUGCACGUCCAUACCAGCACUUGCUGGGAAUCAUAGAAUCACAGAAUGGUUUGGGUUGGAGGGACCUUCCCAGCUCCCCAGUGCCCCCCCUGCCAUGAGCAGGGGCAUCUUCACCAGCUCAGGUUGCUCAGAGCCCCGUCCAGCCUGGCCUGGGAUGUCUCCAGGGAUGGUUCAUCUACCACCUCUCUGGCCAACCUGGGCCAGGCUCUCACCACCCUCAGGGGCAAAAAAAAUCUGCAGCAUGCAUUUCCCUCAGGUAUCCACAGAAAAUUUUUGUACAAAUGCACUUUAGUUUUGUCCUGCAAGGCCACGUUUCCUUCCUUUGGAAGGCACCUGCUUUUCCAACCCGCUCCUUCUCCCGUCACCUUUCAGCAGACACUUGACUGCAUCGCUGUGCUGAUGUUCUGUUUAAUUAGUUUGGCCUCUUGCACCCAGCCAGGGGAAGUUUGAUUAUAGACUCUCUGAAUACUUCUGCAGGCUCCGCUCUUCCCAGAGUGCUCGCUCAGCCAAAGGAAGAACAAACAAACAAACACAGGAACCUUUCCUGCAGCUCCAAACGGGCCAUCCCGCAUUAACCACGUUUAACGCUACGCUGGACAAGGCCAGUGAGGACACAGUUCAGAAAGCGCAGUAGGAAAGUGCAGGGAGAGGAAGUAGAUGGAUCACACGUGGGACGUGCAGCAGCGGUUUUGAUCAAAAUGGUCUGAGUUUUGCCACCCUUUGAAUUCCCCGCUCUAAGGAGCUGGGUGUCUGCCUGGGAGCUCCCGCAGCCCUGCCCGUGCGGAGAACACGGAUGUGCCAGCGUUUGGUCCUGAAACUGCAACUUCAGGAUGAAGCGAGGAGUAAAAGAAGUGACAAGACACACGAGCCAUUGUGGGAAAUGAAGGGAAGACUCUGAAAAUGGUUAUAAUAAAUAAUCAGAAAUGUUGCGCGGGCCAAAGGAAUAAUAGAUCAGCGAUGGAAAGACUCUAAAAGCCGCCGAGAGUUAUUGAUAGACACUAUGUAAGGAAAAAAAUAAUCCCUGAUGGUUUUGCCUUCAUGUUCCCAAAGGCGAGUGGCAGAAUGAAAGAUACAUUUCCUUUUGCAUAAAGAAGAAAUAUUGAAGGAAACUGAGCAAAGGUGAUGGAGAAAUUAAGAGUGUUAAAAGACCCUGAAAGCAUGUGAUCCAUGUCAAAUCCCUUUCAGGAUUUAGAGCUGAGUCAACAAAACCCAGGAAAACUGUCGAGGGCAAUGAAGACCCUUUGAAGCCCAGAGAUGGAGAAGUUCCUGCGGAUGUCAAGUCCGGAGCGCCGAGGAAGAUUUCCAGCAAUGCAAGCUGGUGGUACAGAGGAAGGUACCUUGCAUGGCUGGGAGGCCAAUGUGCACUUUAAUCUGGGGGUUGCAGUAGAGAAAUAGUUAGGAGAAAUUAUGAGUUUAAUUAAGGAAAACCAUCAAGGAUUAAAAAAUUGAAAGCUGUGCCAAUAAAGGGAGAAGAACACUGACAGUGGCUUUCUGAGGAAUUAAUGCAAAUCACAGGCCAGAGAAAGCCAAAAGAUAUAAUUUCUGCAGUGGCAGGAAAGGUUGGAUGUAACACAGUCAAGAAGUGUAAUCUGGAGUAAAACAAGUGUGGGACACGUGUCUGGCUGAGCACUGGGCUGGCGGGUCCGUGCAGCAGAGCUACUUGUGAGGAUGUGCUGGCUUGUACUGCCGAGAACGGGGAGGUGUGAUGCUGAAGGAACUUCAGGACACAACAUAAAGUGAUUAGGGAGGUGAAUUUAACUGAAGGAGGCACAAUUCAGAGAUAAGAGGAAGGGAACAAAUGCUCAAAGGGUUUGAGGGCACUUGGCCUGGCUGGGGAACCAGCGAGCACAAGGUCAACACAAGCACUGAUGGGGCAAUUUUCUGUGUUUCUGCAACAAAUUGCAAUGAAAGAUUUCUGAUUCACACACUCUUAAUUAAUUGAAACUCCAAGUAUCCUGAAGUAGAAGCUAAACAGCUACCAUCCAAUAUGAUGCAUUCGACUUUCCAACAGUUAACCAGGGGGAAACCACUCUUCAAAAACCUCAGUAAGUGUUUGGGAGGAAAACAGAAUAGUUUUGGUUCUCUCCAGCUGUAUGAUGCCCAUUUAUUUGGUAUCCAAACAACUUUAAAGCACUCACAUGCAUUUUGCCUACAGGAACCAGAUUAAAAGGACCACGGGAAGGACUUUGCCUUCUAAAUCUUAUGUCUUUGUUUCAGGAAAAAUUCCCAUUCUUCUACAGAGGAACAAAAUGGGAGCCAGGAUCUGUAUUUGCAAGCAGCCUUGACAAGAGCAACGUGUUGAGCUGCUACCGUGCCCCACAGCUGGUCCUUCUUAGGUCGGUCUUGUAAAUCCAGACUCACUGAAGUUUUCCAGGAUGAAUCCACUCGCAAUGUCCCAGCAGGAAGGGGCAGGACAGCGGGGGCUGAGCAGCCCCGGGUCGGUGCUGGCCUGGGGGGCGACGUGGGGCUACACGGGGACCCUCCUCUGAGCUCCAGGGAGCUCUGCACGGCAUUGGGGGCAGUAAGUAAAAAGGAAAGAGAACCAAAAGGCAGUUUCUGCAGCGCCGCUCCACAGCAAGGCUGUGAGGGAGCACACCCCACCUGCCUCAGACCAUUGCCAGUGAGGAGACAGCUGCCCCACACUGUGCCGCCUUUAGGAACCCCCUCCCCACCCCAUCCCCACCCAAGACUGAUUAAUUUGUGCAGAUAGAAGGAAAUGAAGAAAAGAAGAAGAAACACGUCUCUGUGGAGGCCAGCACGUCGCAGGGCCAGCUGGGCCGGGCUGUGCUGCCUGUGGCACGGCUGCUGCCCCAUGCCCCAUCUCGGACUGCUCCUCGGGGACCGGCACCCUGCGAGGGGGAGGCCAAAACUCCCGUGCACGUUGUCCUCAGUGCUGUACCCGGCUUCAGACUCUUCCUCUUCUGACCUUCUCCGACGUUCGUUUCUUCCACCACGGGCUCCUUCCUCACCGCACAGCUUUGAGAAGUAAAUCCUCGGCGAUGUCACAUCACAUGGUGGCGACGCAGGUUUGAAGCCCCGGCUCUCAAAGCAACUUCAGCGGACCGUGACGGGGAUCAAGGGGCCCUGCAUUGAUCGGAUUGCGAACGCCGGGAACCUGGGCUGUGCCCAAACCGGCGGGGAGGGAGCAGGAGCCUGUGCCAGCGCCGGAGGAUUCGGCAUCGGCAGCAGCCGGUCCCCAGCCCGGCAGGGAGCGUCGAUGCUGGGUAAUAGACACCCUAAGAAAUCCGGCAAGAGUGGCGUAGAAGCAGACAAAGCUGUGGUUUAACACAAGCUGAAGAUUAAACACACAUCUAAGCGUGUCCUGUACUUCCAGCUGCGCAGCAAUUGGCACAAACAUCUACUGGUAUUUUUCUCUCCGCUUCCAUCGUUUUCCAAGAUGACCCCACUCACACCCGUGCUUUGCCUUUUCCACCACUGGUCACCUCAGUGGCAUUUUUGCCAUCACCAACAGGGGAAUGGGGCUUGUUGGUGCAGACCUGCACCCAUGGGUGCUGGGAGGGCACCCACACAUCGCUGUGGGCACAGGGAGGGUUUGCUCAGCCCGUGCCCCCCGGCGAGGGGACCGCACCGGCCCUGGUACCAGCGCCAGGUACCAGCCCUGCCCUGAGCAAUGGCCAUUUCAGGGGGUUCAAUUAGCAACUGGCCCAUAGCACAGCAUAUACUCACAGAAACCUGCUUGAAUGCUUAAUGAGGGCAUUCAUAAAAAUCAAAGUUUGCACUUGGUAAUUUGUCUCAGAGAAUGAAAAGCUAUUUUUCUUGGGUCACUCAUUUCCUACGAGUACUUUGCGUGGCUGUAAUUUCAGCCGCAGUUCACCGUCCACCUCUUACCGCGUCGCCAGCUGAACAAACGGCAAAUACCUCCUGCGUCGGGACACCCCGACUGCGGCCUGGCUUUGGGUGCCACUGGGAAUUAAAUCCCUUGGUGCUCAGUGUUUCUGGAAAUGCAGCUAAGGAUGUGGCAUCAGUCACAUUUGUUUUGCAGGGAGGCAAAGGGAUUUGGUUUAAUGAUUUCUUGUUUCAGUUCUGCGGAGGAUCCGAGGUGUCUUGUAGAGCCGUGAUAGCAGAUUUCCCCCUGCUGCAGAAUUACCCAGAAAUGCAAAUAUCCUUAUCAGUCAGGAUCCAGAGCAGCAAACCGCAGCCCUGAGUGACCCCCAGCCCUCCUGCUCGCUCCCUCGACCUCUGCUGCAUUUUCUUCUCAAAAUAAUUUAUUAGAUAGAGGCUGCAAGAAAUAAUCUUUAUUUUUUUCCAUUUGCGUUCACAUGCAAAUGAAUUCCUACUAACUUAUUUUCUUCAUUUCCCAAUUGUCAUGCAAAACUCCUCUCUCUGAACUGCAUCUCCUCUCAACUUUUUCCUUCUCCCGGAGGAAAUUCCCUCUAUUACGGCCAAGGGCAAAGCUUGGGUGCAUUGCUGGUGUUUCAGCAAAAGGCCACAAGCCUUUCUCACCCCGGUGGGGCGGGCGGCCAGGAGCACAGUGCCCCCCGCAGCUGAGAAAACGGGGGCUGCAGGGGUUGAAAGACUUGCACAAAUGUCUGCAACAAGAGGGGGCUGCCCAGGAGCCAGCUCCAGCCUAAAAGCAAUCUUAAGCUCCAGCGUUUGGCAUUGUGCAACAUCUGGACUUAAAGCAGUGGGGAGGCAGGAUUUUGGGGCGCUGGCACAGCUGGGUCUAAGUGACAGACUCCGGUCCCGGGCACCCCAUGGUACGCUUGGCCAUCCCUGCUCCUUGCUGCUCCGCACCAGCCUUGGAGCUAAUCUGGGACUUGAUUUUCUCAGCCUGGAGGCACAACCGGCACCGGCCAAAGAGACUCAUCCCUUGGUUUGCAUGGGCAAAGGGUCUGAGCGGUGUUACAACAAGCAUGCGUCGCUGAAAGGUUUGGGGAUCAAAAUGGAAAAUAUUAAAUGACUGUUCCUUUCCAGUUUCACAGAAACUACCUGUAUUGUGUCUUUUAGCUGUUUUUUCCCCCGUUAGCUGUCCUUGUUGCUGCUGGGAGCUGGGAAGCUCCUGCUUUUGCUGGGGGUUGAUUUGCUGCUGCGUUCGCCUCUGGCUGGGGCUUUCCCGGCGGUCGGGCGGCCCCCCCGUGGGCUCUCCCCACAUCCACCGGCGGGGAGAAACCGACCUGGCCAGGGCAAGAAAAACAGGUGAAAAGAGAUCACAACGGGCGAUGUUGUGCAUGUCGAGCUAAACCUGGCGCUGCCGCCGAAGAGCCCCCGGCAGCACCACGGCCUUUGUUCGCGCUCCCUCGCCCCGCGGAGCCCGCCCGCCUCCCGCUCCCAGGCAAGGCUUUGAAUUUUGAUGCCUUUCUCUGCAUUGACCAGAGUUUAUCACAUAUCUCUGGUUGGGAUCCUGCCUAGCUUAGCAUAAGACAAAAAUGGGGAAAGGCAAAAAAAAAAAUCGGCUGAAUAAUAGGACGGAUUUGUAGCAGCUGAGGAUUUGCAUUCAAAUGUUCGCCAGCCUCCUCUGAGCUCGAGUUUUAUCAUGUCUUUACAGCCAACAGCUUGUUUAUGAAUAAAAAAUGUGGCAUGAAACCAGAGGAGUGAGUUGUCUUUGUUUUGUCAAGUGUGUGCAGACAAAAUGCUCGCUCCUCACAAGUCUUCACUUCAGACGAGUCUUGUGGGACGGGGCAGCUGGCCGGGCCGCUACCUGCGCGUUGCCAUGGCCGGCGGCACCGCGGCCACCCUCCAUAUGCAUGAGCCCGAGCGGGACCCGCCGGGCGCCUAUGCAAAGCAGCCCUUGCUUUGACAGGCAGCCACUUUAUUAACUCAUUAAGCUCAUCUUGUUCCUUUAAAUGCAGUAUAAUUACAAAUAAAGCUGUCACACUUUGUUUGCAGUUAUAUAAUUUAGCUAAGUGCCGCCACGACCUGGGCUUCGAGGAGG